GGGAAUCCUACAGUUGUUACGGAGGUAUCCGGGGAGACUGCCAGAUUUGGAGAUGAUGUUUGAUUGCGUAGACUGGCCGGUUAUCAAGUCCGUUGAUUAUAGUGGGCCAGACGCGCCUGCCCCACCGCCUCUGUUUCGCUAUUGCGGGAACGAUGACACAUUGGACAUUGUUUUCCCUGAUUGGUCCUUCUGGGGAUGGCAAGACAUGUUAACUUUUCAUCUUCAAUUAAUUUUUUCAAUACAUGAAUGCGCCAAAUGCAGGAGUUAACAGAUUAUUCUACAGGGCUGAGACGAAUAUAAAGCCAU
rnacentral:misc_RNA from 1 species